AUUGAACGCUGGCGGCAGGCCUAACACAUGCAAGUCGAACGGUAACGCGGGGCAACCUGGCGACGAGUGGCGAACGGGUGAGUAAUGUAUCGGAACGUGCCCAGUUGUGGGGGAUAACUGCUCGAAAGAGCAGCUAAUACCGCAUACGACCUGAGGGUGAAAGCGGGGGGUCGCAAGACCUCGCGCAAUUGGAGCGGCCGAUAUCAGAUUAGGUAGUUGGUGGGGUAAAGGCUCACCAAGCCAACGAUCUGUAGCUGGUCUGAGAGGACGACCAGCCACACUGGGACUGAUACACGGCCCAGACUCCUACGGGAGGCAGCAGUGGGGAAUUUUGGACAAUGGUCGCAAGUCUGAUCCAGCCAUGCCGCGUGCGGGAAGAAGGCCUUCGGGUUGUAAACCGCUUUUGUCAGGGAAGAAACGCUCUGGGUUAAUACCUCGGGGUAAUGACGGUACCUGAAGAAUAAGCACCGGCUAACUACGUGCCAGCCGCCGCCGUAAUAC
rnacentral:rRNA from 1 species